GCCGGGCGUAGUGUCGGACGCCUGUAAUCCCAGCUACUCUGGAGGCUGAGGCAGGAGAAUCACUUGAACCCGGGAGAUGGAGGUUGCAGUGAGCUGAGAUCAUGCCACUGCCCUCCAGCCUGGGCAACAGAGCAAGACUCUGUCUCAA
ensembl:misc_RNA Metazoa_SRP Metazoan signal recognition particle RNA